GCUCAAUAGGUUGUCAACUCACAAUUAUACGAUCAUAGGUGUCAUUCUCACACUUAAGAUUCAUUUACACAGGAAAUAAUAACACAAUUACCUCCCAAUUACCUCCCUUGUUUUCUAUUCUCCACCAUGGAGUAGCGAUAUUCAAACGUUUGAAAAUGAAGAGGAAAAUGAUGUUUUUGCCAAUUUCUCAGCUGGCAAUAGUGAAUUAUAGGAUUAAUAGGAUUAUUCUUUAACAAGCUAUGGCCAGUUAUAUCAACCACACGACAUCACCAACGCAGAAUUUAUCCAAUAUUAUAUUUCUGGUGCUGCCUUGACUUAUCAGAUCGAUGUGAAGAAGUGUGAACAGAUGGCCAAUUUAAACAAUAUGACUGUGUAUUCCUUUACUGAAGAUAUUGACCGUGGAGUUCUUACUAUUUACAAGGACGAUGAAUGGGAGAUGAACUUCGGGGUUCAACGACAAGUGAACGGACAGAGAUUGAAUUUAACAGGAACAGCUUUUCAUUUUUCGGAGUUCUCUCUAUAUAACACAGGCAAGGUUAUACUCGGCUUAAUCACCAUUAAUCCAGUGAAUUACCAUUAUUUGGCUCAAGCCGAGGUAGACUGUCGGAUGGAUCAGGGCAACACGAGGUAAAUAUAAUGUAUGUCGUGCACAAGGUAGGAAAUGUUCGCUGUACACGUGUGUUUUCCCAAAAUAUACUUAAUUCCCGUGUUGGAUUCCGGUGUUGGCAGAAAAAGUUCAUCGGGAUUUUCCGGCGUGGUUUCCCCUUGUCAGUGGUGCAGGACAGCGUCUCUGACAAGGACAGCUGUUUAGUCAUUUGGAUGGGACGGAAAACCGAAGUCACGUGUACACAUUCGCGUGCACAUAAAAGAUCCCUUGGUAGUUGGAAUUCAAUAUAAGAGUAGGCCGUUGUCCGGGCAAAAUUUCCCUCAUAGCACACUGUAUGGCCUAUGCCCGUCAACAUUAGCCUAGUAGGAGCAGAACAGUAGGUUGUUAAACACCAUUUCAUUUCAUUUGUUUUACUGGGUGUUCUAGGCUAUUUAUAUACGUUUGUUUUAUUGAGUCCUAUAGUUUUCCACCCACUGUUAAAGAUCCCUACGCACAAGCGAAUUACAGAAAUAAAACUAUAAAAUGUUAGUCGCGAAAUGUAUUAGUUUGUGUCAAAUGGACGUUAAAACCCCAUUUCUCAUCCUCCCUCUAUCUCUGUUUUGAUAUAUAUUGAAUUAUUGAAAUAAAACUAUAAAAUGUUAGUCGCGAAAUGUCUUAUUUUGUAUCGAGUGGACCUCAAACCCCCAUUUCUCCUCCUUUCUCUCUCUCUCUGUGUAUAUUUCAGUGGUGUACGGAUCGUAGCAACAUCUCCACCAGGAACAGCUCUAGCAAACUUCGUACAACUACAAACCGCUGUAAAAGUUGGUCAUAACCUUUAUUAUGCCAUUGAUAUAUAUCAAUGUCAACCUGUUCCAUCUGUUCCCGGUCAUCAGUGGAUCGCUGGAAGGCUUACUGGUGUCCGUUAUGAUCCCAAUGGAGACAUCGGUUUUACUGUUCAAACAGAGGAUCUUGGUUACAUCAGUGUAUACCAUGUCGUGGUUAAACCAGAUAAUUCAGUCCCUGUUCAAUCAUAUUUUUACGACAAGACGAAAAGAUCAUCUUUCUAUUACCAAGACAAGAAUUGUACUCUGGGUACCCAACACACUGUCAGGAUUUUUAGACAAUAAAAGCGAUAAAAC